UCUUCGGAGAUGUGGGUGAUCACGCCGAUCCCAGACGAGCCCCCAAAUGAAAGACUCUGAAAGGAGUUCCUCGCUCAGGCCUCAGGACAAUAGCAGACACCCAAGAACUCAUGAUAGACC
rnacentral:pre_miRNA from 7 species